CGUACGUCGCUGAACUCCUGAAGUCAGCGGGGACAUGCCAGGGUGGAUGUUAGCUUGAAAGACUGGCUCUGCAGUGUCCUCUCUGACUGACUACAAGGAAAUCUGUGCCUGGGUGUGAAAAGCGGGACCGGUGCUCAGAGUCCAAUCCUGUAGAGGUAUGCGGAGAUGACUGCAAAGUCCUGAGCAGCCUCACCUCUUGCGGAGACCCUGCGCGCUCCUGUGACAUGCUCAGCAUUGCUGCUGUGCUCAGCUUUACCCCGCACACAGCUGUCUUGACCCUGCUGCCAUCUGAUGCUGCUUUUCAAAUUGCUGAAGUCAAAUUAGGAGUGCCUGGUCAUCAUGUGCAGAGCCACAGGCAGUGCUGGGAUCCGUCCGAACCUGAGCCUGCGGUGCUGCCGCUGGCUGGGAAGCUCCCCGCUCCUCUGGCUCCAGAGGCAUCCUCCCAAAACCACGGUGGUCCCGAACACGGUGGAAGGAGGGAACAGACAAAGAUUCAGCGUUGACAGGGGUUGUUCUGAAUGUAACAGGAUCCCAUGGCAGAUGGAAACCAGACUCCAGGCAUUUGCAGUGUUUUUCACUGAGGAGGCCCUACAACCAUUGUCUUAGAGGAAUUUCCUCACUAGCAUGAGAUCCUUGUUGGAUGAGGACUUCGCAGUGCACCUUCAGGGCUGUCCAGUCACGGGGGAGUUAUGUCCUCUGCCAGUGUGGAGAUUGUCAUCCCUGAAAAAACUCAUGGGACAUUCAAGGCUCCUUGUAGCAGUCCUCUCGUCCCACCCUCCCCUUGGCUGAUGAGAUAGCUGUAUAAGAAGAUGGCCUUGUGCUUGAGACAGAGUCUAUGUGGUCACCACUUGGAUAUCAGAUCAUUAUGACAGAGGAGAGGCUACUUCUUCAUCACUAAAGGUGACUCACAAACAGCAUCACUCUGGGAAAGUUAGAAGUGAUAAUUUGAUAAGACUCAAGGAUCGUGUGGGACUCAAAAAGGGAUAAAACAACCUUGCGUGAGGCUCUCUCUCCUCUGUCUCCUAGCGAUGAAUGAAGCUGGAAAACCUGGUCAAUUCAGAGCUGACAAAAAGUAAAACAUGAUCAUGUCUCUGUGAAAUACUCAGGUAGCCUGGAAUUCACUGCCCCUGGAUGUCAUCAAGGCUGAGAGCUGAGCAGAGUUCAAAAGGAGGUUCGACGUUUGUAUGGAUAACUUUAUUCAGAAUUGUAGGAAUCUUUUUUAAAAAAAAAAAAAAAAAAGAACAAAUCAACAAUGCCCUCUGAAGAGGUCUGAGAGCAUCUUUGGUGCCUGCACCAGCACUUGGCUGACCCUGAACUAUCAGAAGUUAGGAAGAAAACUUCCUGCAAUGGUUUUGUCAGACCCCUCUGCCUCAAAACAGUCUAGGUGUUGGUGUUUGCAGCGUGAGCACAGAUAACCAUCCCCUGGGACAACCCAUUUCUGUGGGACUGGGAUCCAGCUCUUCAGAUCGAAGGUCACUGAGUGCUGAGACCAACUGGUCUGAUCCAGGCUGUUCCCUCUGCAUGGCAGAGAAGGAUUUUCCCCCUGCUCAAGCCCUCCUCACCACUUGCUUAGAGGGCUCAGGCUUCUCCCUGGGGACGACUGAACUUCAGGUCACCAGAAGCAGCACAUCCUCAGGAUCUUUCAGGGCCACAUCCACGUUUCCUCAGGAGCCCUUUAACAAGGCAGCUGGCAUCAGACAGCUCAGUUCCUGUGGUCAGCAAGCUGUCUGGGGAGUCCAUGCACUGCAGAAUUGAGAGUCGCGCACCAGAGCAGUGAGUGUCACCUUGUUGCCCUCUUCUGAUGGAAAGACUGCUUCACCCCUGCCUCAGUGACAUCUGGGAGAAACAUCCUCGGGCCCAGCUUCGCAUAGGACAGCUGUUGCUCCCCACAGCCCCCUUUGCCCACUGUGCUCUUUUCCAGGAGAGGCUGAGAGAGUGUGAUCUUAGACUUGAAAGAAGGUAAUUUGAAUUGGAUGUGAAGUUGUUACUAAUUUAAUGUUUAUCCAAUAACAAGGACUUUGCAAAACCCCUUACCUUUUCAUGAGCCUCAGGUAACACUGUCAAUUCAUAAUUGCUAUGAUCCCUUUAUCCUGUGGUUUAAUAAAUAAUUUACUUAAAUUAUUAAAAUGAAAAUUUCAACAUUAUUAAAAAUUAACCAGGUUAAAUGAGCAAACGGUAAAUAGUGCUGGGCUUGUCCUGCGUGACAGGAGUCCACAGCUUUUAUUGUCUUUUUCCCAGGCGCAAAGGGUGUGUUUCUCCCUCCCCCUUUCCCUCCCUCUCUGUCUCUCUCUACUUUCACUGCUUUACUCUCCUGUCUUUCACAAACUCCUCUCCAUUUGCCUUCUGCAUCCCCUCCUCUCUUUGACAUUCGUCUUCUUCACAGCCUGUUCUUUUAUCUCAAUCUCUUCUCCUCCACUACUAGUUUACUCUUCCUUCCAUGAACCCUCUCCUUCCCAUGCCAUAACUCUAGUCAUCUGUGCUUUCUUCUCCACAUAGUACAUCCAUUGCAUUCUGAUCUCUGUCGCCUCUUUUUGCCAUGACUCCAUUCUUUCCCCUCUUCCAGUCUAUUAAGCCUACCCCAGCUGGUGUUGCAAGUGUGCCUUGGUCAGACCCUGUGUAUACCUCAUCAUUAUGUUGUUUUGUGCACACAUAUGUAGCACAAGAUGCCUGAUGGGCCUUUUUGUGCUUUCUGUCUUUGAUCCGUGGCUAACAAUCCCAUCUGAUGCCAGAAAGACUUAGAUCCAGGUGAACACAUGAUCUCCAAAGAGCAGAGAGUUUGCCAGGUCUUGAGGAUAUGAGCUGCCUCCAUUCAUGAAAAAUUUAUUAAAA